rnacentral:lncRNA from 1 species
UACCUUGCUAAGUGCACUUGCUUCGGUGAGUGGGUUUUGGCCUCCAGUCCAGGGAAGCAGAUAGGUUCUUAAGAAGAGGAAGCACUGUCCACAUGGUAACACCAGGUCAUGCAGAUCCUCUGGAUCCCAUAUGACAAUCCUGCAGCCCUGAGACAUGGUAUUUUGCAUUAGACUUUUCUUCCAGAUGAAUUGCCCUUAACACAUGGGUGAAGCCUGUCAUCUGGUUCAGGGAUGCCAGAAGUGCCUGCUGCCCUUUACUCGUCCUGAUGUAGCUGAAAGAGCAGCCUGGCUUCCCACAGUUCUGAUACUUGCGGUUUUGAUUUGUCAGAAAUAUCCUGAUCCAAAGCCUUGAAGCACAAUGCAACCUGAACCUUGGAGGAAAGCCAAAGUACUUCUGCUUCCAAACUCUGCAAAUACACCUAAUCUUUGCUGACAGAUGAGCCAAAAAUCUCUAUCCGAAGAUCUGCAAAUGCUGGGAAGUAUUACCGCUAAUCCUCACAUUCUGGAUUCAUCUCUAGUUAUACUAAAAAUAGAAGAGCUGGGUGGCUUGACAUAAAGUGUCAGACUAUGUAAA